rnacentral:piRNA from 1 species
UACAAGGGACUACUUGGAAAGUAACUACUUU